AUUGAACGCUGGCGGCAUGCUUUACACAUGCAAGUCGAACGGCAGCGCGGGCUUCGGCCUGGCGGCGAGUGGCGAACGGGUGAGUAAUACAUCGGAACGUGCCCAGUAGUGGGGGAUAGCUCGGCGAAAGCCGGAUUAAUACCGCAUACGACCUGAGGGUGAAAGCGGGGGAUCUUCGGACCUCGCGCUAUUGGAGCGGCCGAUGGCAGAUUAGCUAGUUGGUGGGGUAAAGGCCUACCAAGGCGACGAUCUGUAGCUGGUCUGAGAGGACGACCAGCCACACUGGGACUGAGACACGGCCCAGACUCCUACGGGAGGCAGCAGUGGGGAAUUUUGGACAAUGGGCAAAAGCCUGAUCCAGCAAUGCCGCGUGUGUGAUGAAGGCCUUCGGGUUGUAAAGCACUUUUGGCGGGAACGAAAAGGACUGUGCCAAUACCACGGUUCGAUGACGGUACCCGCAGAAUAAGCACCGGCUAACUACGUG
rnacentral:rRNA from 1 species